GACGAACGCUGGCGGCGUGCUUAACACAUGCAAGUCGAGCGGUAAGGCCCUUUCGGGGUACGACGAGCGGCGAACGGGUAGGAGUAACACGUGGGUGGACCUCGCCCUCCAGCUCUGGGAGUAAGACCCGGGAACCGUAGGGCCGUAAUACCGGAUAUGACUCCAUGACGCAUGUUGUGGGGUGGAAAGCCUUGUGCGGCUGAGGAUGGGCCCGCGGCCUAUCAGCUUGUUGGUGGGGUGAUGGCCUACCAAGGCGACGACGGGUAGCCGGCCUGAGAGGGCGACCGGCCACACUGGGGACUGAGAUACGGCCCAGACUCCUACGGGAGGCAGCAGUGGGGAAUCUUGCGCAAUGGGCGAAAGCCUGACGCAGCGACG
rnacentral:rRNA from 1 species